GUACGGCUGAGGAGCUUCAGCUGAAAAAACCUGCAGAAGCAACGAGUUUCAUUUUCAAAAGAAAACAUGCCACUUCAGAAAUGUCAGCAUGUUUUGUUCCAACAUCUUAUGGACACCUUCAGCUGCUCGAGGCCUAAUCCGCAGUCAAGAUGUGAUAUAACCAAACCUUGCCUUCUUUCGCCAGGAGCUGGCGUGUUCACGUUGAAACCAGCGACCUACAAGUGCAGAAAGGGCUCCCUAUCCCCCUGCUACCUGGGCAGGCUGGAAGACAUCUGCGAGCAACCGGCUGUGCCCCAGUGAGCCCAGUCACAGCUGUGGUCCUCACUUUCCUUGGAGAGAGAAGCUGGAGGUCUGGGACUGACCAUACCGUAAAUUUUUUCCUGCCAGAUGCAAAGCCUGGAGUUGACACUCUGAGAACAGGUGAUGCACAGGGCACACUGAGCGAGAAGGCAAUCCAGCAAGGCCAGUGAGAUGAACUUUACAAAGGGACUCUUCUGAGGGCUAAAAGGAAGAAGCCUGGAGGCACAGGCUAUUUUCUCUCUUUUCUUUCUCUACCACUCUCAGACAUUCCUUGCCCCCUCUUGCUUGCAUGAGAGAAAAUGAAGAGUCCUUCAUCUUCCUCUUACUGCACAGCGGGUGGAAGACGCUUGCUCACAGAAUGAAAGAAGAAGCAGGAAGAGGAAAAUAAACAGCUGAGUCAUUACAGCAAAAAAAAAAAAAAAAAAAAAAAAAAAAACAAAAAAAAAACCCAACAAACCAAAACAACAGACCUUCAGGAGAGGGGAGGACUGGAAGGGGCUGGCUGUGAAACUUCAAGAGAAACCACAAAUGCAGCGGUGGAUGUUUAGAAAGGCAGUGGCUCGCCAUCUGCGGAGAGAGGGCCACAAUGGCUCCCACAGAGGACACGGAGGUACCAGGCAGCCCUUGCACGGGGACAGUGGCAGCAUUCAGCAGGUUCCAGCUGCUGAGAAAUAUAUGGAAAUUACAUGCUGUAAGUCAGCUAAAUAAACAAGGCGGAAAAAUGGCUGAGUCAGAAAAAGUGGACUAUUAAGUUCAAAUGCAUUAUUAAUUGGAAAACUGCUUAACACAGCUGGAGAUCCUAUGGGCAUGGGUAAACAUAAAUAUGAGGAUGAGACAACCAAUUAAAUCACUAAUUAGUCCUUUUAGGAAAUCAUCCAGGUCCAUUAAUGAUAACCCUUAAUUGGAACCUAUGGAAGAGACAUUAUAUAUGUAUUGCUACUGCUGCCUUGAGCAUUAGUCCGAUGUGUGUAUGUGUGUGUGUCUGUCUCAGUUUUUUGUGCCUGUACACAAAUCAUCAACGUAAGAAAGUGCACACUUACCAGUGGCAAGUGCAGGUUAAUGAAAAUUUAGAGACUUGGUCUUCGCACUAUCCCGUGGGUAGUUUACCAACAAAUUAUAUAUGGAAUAGAAUUUAUGCAGGUCCAUUUUCUGAAAGAAAGGACUAUUCCCUUUCAUUCCCACAGCAGUGGAAAUAAAGCAGCAGUGCUGGAACUGAAACUGUUUGUUAGAGCUAAGCAUUAAGUAUUAAUAACCAAGUAAUUAUCAUACCAAUAACUAUAAUGAAAAAUACAAAGUAGUGUUUUCAGAAGAUUGUGCUUUGCAGAGAUGGAAAGAGGUUUCUUGCAGUCCAUUUCCCUGCCCGCACAGAAUAUGGCUUCUAGGCUGAGGACUUCAGAAGUUACUGAACCGAAUGUUCACUUGAUCUUGGCCUCUGCAGCUUUGCCUUCACCAAUAAAAGCAACUGUGGAAUGAGUAA